rnacentral:lncRNA from 12 species
UUUGAUACUGUUUAAAAUUUAUAUUGAUAAUAAUUAUGACUUAGGAAUAAAUCUGAAAUGAUGAGCUAUAAAAUGUUAGUAAAUUUAACAGUUAAAACUUUGGGUUGUACAUUACAGAAAAUCUAAUUCAAAUUGGCUUAAGCCAAAACGAUCGAUCCACUGCCUCAGUUAACUCAACUUUGCAGUCAUAGCAGGAUGCAGGGGCUCAAAAGAUACAGUUAGGUUUCAGCUUUUUUUUCCAUCCUGAUUUCACUUCUGUGGUCACAAGAUGGUGACCAGAAGAUUCCACAUCAUGUCACGUGGCUGGCUUCUAUCUCUUCCUGAGGGGGAAGAGCAAGAGUCUCCUCAGCACAUCAAUCAUAACUCUCAUUGCCUGUCAUCACCUCUGGUGAGCAAAAGCCAACUACUGAUAGUAUAGGCUUGGCCACACUGUCCUUGAUAAUCUUGAAGCAAGUGGACUGGAGAGAGUGGAGAAGGUGGAUACCUAGGGGGAAAUCUGGUGCAGUUACUGGAAGAUUUGUUGGGUGUUUACUAUAGUAUGUCCUUAAAUGGAGAUCUUUGUCCAGGCUCCUGGUGGCUCAGUUGGUUGAGCGACCACCUCUUGAUUUCAGCUCAGAUUGUGAUCUCAGGGUUCUGGAAUCCAGCCCCAUGUUGUCAGGCUCCGUGCUCAGCAGGAAGUUUGCUUGAGUCUUUCAAGAGAAUCUAAAGGUGAGAGGGACAGAGGGGAGAGAGUGAUGAGAUUAGGACAUUAUCCUUAGAGGAGGUUAGUUUUUGGUGUCUGUCUCCUCUGUUCCAAAGAGAAGGACUUAGAGUUUGUCCCCCCCUUUCUGCUUAUGGGGUGAAACUCAGAAACACUGAGGACAGGUGUUGAAGACCGCAGAAAUGCAGGAGGUGAGAACCUGCGGCUACUGUUCUGGAGGGGGCUCCAUUCACCGAGUUCUGGAAGUUAAUGAUGCCUUAUUGAAGGAGCAUCGCAUGAAGCUCUUGGCAUAUGCCUGGUGGUGGUCCUGUGAUUUUAUUAACCUGGCUGAGUAUGGUUAUGAUGGAGUGGUUGCGGAACUGCAUGGUGGCUCAGAGGGGUACAUCUAGUUACUGAGGGCUGUAAUCUGGGUAUUUGGCUCCUGGAGGAACGCAGUCUUAAUCACAGGUAAAAUCCAACAACCUGCCAUCUCACAGCAUCUCAAAGGUGGUUCAUAGUCUGCCUGUGGGUCCAAUUCAUCUAAGGAAUCUGAACUCUGCCAAAAAUACAGAGGUCAAGGUGCAUUCACCUGCUCUAUGGAUGAUCUGGCCAUUACUCAAGGGGAAGAACCUCCUAUGAUUGCCAGCAAAGAAUGUAAUGCCCAUUUUUUUUUUCCCGUGGGAAGAAAGGGGGCAUUUUAAGUGAUAAGGAUACUAUGGACUAAUUUUAUAUAUGCCUACUCAUCCUUAAAACCUAAGAACCUAAAAUAAAUUUUCAUCUUAUCCAUCCUAUAGAAUGACA